ensembl:snoRNA
CUCUAGGUCCGAAAUGUUAUCUUUUCCAAGUACAUAUCUGAUUGCUCUAUGUGAAAAAUGACUGUUACUGAGUGAUUCUGGAU